rnacentral:rRNA from 1 species
AACGAACGCUGGCGGCAGGCCUAACACAUGCAAGUCGAGCGAGGACUUCGGUUCUAGCGGCGGACGGGUGAGUAACGCGUGGGAAUGUGCCCUUCUCUACGGAAUAGCCCUGGGAAACUGGGAGUAAUACCGUAUACGCCCUAUUGGGGAAAGAUUUAUCGGAGAAGGAUCAGCCCGCGUUGGAUUAGGUAGUUGGUGGGGUAAUGGCCUACCAAGCCGACGAUCCAUAGCUGGUUUGAGAGGAUGAUCAGCCACACUGGGACUGAGACACGGCCCAGACUCGUACGGGAGGCAGCAGUGGGGAAUCUUAGACAAUGGGGGCAACCCUGAUCUAGACAUGCCGCGUGAGUGAUGAAGGCCUUAGGGUUGUAAAGCUCUUUCAGCUGGGAAGAUAAUGACGGUACCAGCAGAAGAAGCCCCGGCUAACUCCGUG